rnacentral:rRNA from 1 species
UACGGAGGGUGCAAGCGUUGUCCGGAUUUAUUGGGUUUAAAGGGUGCGUAGGCGGCCCCUGUAAGUCAGUGGUGAAAUACUGCAGCUUAACUGUAGCAUUGCCAUUGAUACUGUAGGGCUUGAGUACAGAUGAGGUAGGCGGAAUUGAUGGUGUAGCGGUGAAAUGCAUAGAUACCAUCAAGAACACCGAUUGCGAAAGGCAGCUUACUA